rnacentral:tRNA from 1 species
GGGGCGUGAGAGAUGCAUUCCCUGCUUUGCAAGCAGGGGGUCGCCGGUUCGAGCCCGGCUGGCUCCA